GAGUUUGAUCAUGGCUCAGGAUGAACGCUAGCGGCAGGCUUAAUACAUGCAAGUCGAGGGGCAGCAGCUUUAUAGCAAUAUAGAGGCUGGCGACCGGCAAACGGGUGCGGAACACGUACACAACCUUCCUUGAAUAGGGGGAUAGCCCAUAGAAAUGUGGAUUAAUACCCCGUAAUAUAGCGGUGUGGCAUCACACUGUUAUUAUAGUUUCGGCGAUUCGAGAUGGGUGUGCGGCUGAUUAGGUAGUUGGCGGGGUAAAGGCCCACCAAGCCUUCGAUCAGUAGCUGAUGUGAGAGCAUGAUCAGCCACACGGGCACUGAGACACGGGCCCGACUCCUACGGGAGGCAGCAGUAAGGAAUAUUGGUCAAUGGACGCAAGUCUGAACCAGCCAUGCCGCGUGAAGGAUGAAGGUCCUCUGGAUUGUAAACUUCUUUUAUAGGGGGCGAAAAAAGGUCUUUCUAGAUCACUUGACAGUACCCUAUGAAUAAGCACCGGCUAACUCCGUGCCAGCAGCCGCGGUAAUACGGAGGGUGCAAGCGUUAUCCGGAUUCACUGGGUUUAAAAGGGUGCGUAGGCGGGUAGGUAAGUCAGAGGUGAAAUCCYUGGAGCUUAACUCCAGAACUGCCUUUUGAUAYUAUCUAUCUUGAAUAUGGUGGGAGGU
rnacentral:rRNA from 1 species